GUUAGCGGCGGACGGGUGAGUAACACGUGGAUAACCUACCUAUAAGACUGGGAUAACUUCGGGAAACCGGAGCUAAUACCGGAUAAUAUAUUGAACCGCAUGGUUCAAUAGUGAAAGACGGUUUUGCUGUCACUUAUAGAUGGAUCCGCGCCGCAUUAGCUAGUUGGUAAGGUAACGGCUUACCAAGGCAACGAUGCGUAGCCGACCUGAGAGGGUGAUCGGCCACACUGGAACUGAGACACGGUCCAGACUCCUACGGGAGGCAGCAGUAGGGAAUCUUCCGCAAUGGGCGAAAGCCUGACGGAGCAACGCCGCGUGAGUGAUGAAGGUCUUCGGAUCGUAAAACUCUGUUAUUAGGGAAGAACAAAUGUGUAAGUAACUAUGCACGUCUUGACGGUACCUAAUCAGAAAGCCACGGCUAACUACGUGCCAGCAGCCGCGGUAAUACGUAGGUGGCAAGCGUUAUCCGGAAUUAUUGGGCGUAAAGCGCGCGUAGGCGGUUUUUUAAGUCUGAUGUGAAAGCCCACGGCUCAACCGUGGAGGGUCAUUGGAAACUGGAAAACUUGAGUGCAGAAGAGGAAAGUGGAAUUCCAUGUGUAGCGGUGAAAUGCGCAGAGAUAUGGAGGAACACCAGUGGCGAAGGCGACUUUCUGGUCUGUAACUGACGCUGAUGUGCGAAAGCGUGGGGAUCAAACAGGAUUAGAUACCCUGGUAGUCCACGCCGUAAACGAUGAGUGCUAAGUGUUAGGGGGUUUCCGC
rnacentral:rRNA from 1 species